rnacentral:rRNA from 1 species
AGGGUUCGAUUCUGGCUCAGGAUGAACGCUAGCUACAGGCUUAACACAUGCAAGUCGAGGGGCGGCAUUUUCUAGCAAUAGAAGAGAUGGCGACCGGCGCACGGGUGAGUAACACGUAUCCAACCUGCCGAUAACUCCGGGAUAGCCUUUCGAAAGAAAGAUUAAUACCGGAUAGUAUACGAAUAUCGCAUGAUAUUUUUAUUAAAGAAUUUCGGUUAUCGAUGGGGAUGCGUUCCAUUAGUUUGUUGGCGGGGUAACGGCCCACCAAGACUACGAUGGAUAGGGGUUCUGAGAGGAAGGUCCCCCACAUUGGAACUGAGACACGGUCCAAACUCCUACGGGAGGCAGCAGUGAGGAAUAUUGGUCAAUGGGCGAGAGCCUGAACCAGCCAAGUAGCGUGAAGGAUGAAGGCUCUAUGGGUCGUAAACUUCUUUUAUAUGGGAAUAAAGUUUUCCACGUGUGGAAUUUUGUAUGUACCAUAUGAAUAAGGAUCGGCUAACUCCGUGCCAGCCGCUGC